rnacentral:lncRNA from 10 species
UCCAAGAAAGAGCAAGAGAGGAUGAUCCUUUUGUCACCUAUUCUCCUCCUGAAGAUGACCUGCCAUCAUUUUGGCAUCUUCUGUUGAAGCCAGUUGCUAGGUCCAGUCUUCUCUUGAGGGUGGGAUUUACAGAAGAGUGUGAAUACAAGGGGUUUAAAUCACACAGAAGGCAAGAUGCAGUAAGGAGGUGCACAUUCUACAAGGGAGUUUGUCAGAAGAAUCACAACAAGGAUUUAAAGUAUUCAGGGUUUUGGGAGAAGGGAGAGUAUGCAUCUAGUCUAGGGUACGGGGAAAUCUCCCUUGAAGGUGGUUGCAUUUGAGAUAGGCCUGGUGUGACUGGAUUUCAGCAGGUACAGAUGAAGUAUAAAGAGAAGGACCCUGAUUGAUUCCUCUUUUACAUCACAUUCUAAUUAAUUUGGUUAUCUGGGUGUAAACCCACGCCGGAUCCAAAGCUAGAGGUCAUAGAGGGGGAGUCUGUUCUCUCCAGCAGACAACUAAUAGCAGGUGCAAGUGACAGCUAGGAAGUGCAUAAUGAGGGCAAUGAAUGUACAGGACAUAUUUAGGACUUCAAAAUGCAUAGCAGUCUGGGACUAUUUGUUAUAGAAUCACAUCCCAGAAGCCUCUAAGAAGAAUUUUCUGUUAUAGGCCAGCAGGUGACCAUUGAGAGGUAGUUAUAUGCAUACAGUAUAUUCUGUUUAAGAAGGAAACAGAAUGUGGACUAAUUUCGGAACAUUUUACUUUAAAUGAACCAGUUACAUUAUUAAAUUUGGGGUCUUUCAAGAAGGUAGAAUCUUAGCCAUCUGUCCAAAUUGAAUUAGCAACACCAAAA